AGUCAGACUUUCUUUUUCUUCUUUUGGGUCUGUCCCUCUUCUCUCUCUCUCUCUCUCUCUCUCUUCUCCAGACAACGAUCCCCUUCGUCUCUCCAAAAUCACGACAACCCCUUCGUCUUUCCAAACCAGGUCAAAAUCCCAACUUUUCAUUACAUGACCUUAAUUUAGCUCUCACCAUUACAGAGCGAGGGUUCAGAGUCUUCAGACCAAGAUAAAUCCCGGCAAGAAGAAGAAGCAAACCAGAUCAGAAAAUGACCUGAGAUCUUUUUCUCUUCACCUCACCACAAGAAGCGGAGGAGCCUUCUCUCUCUCGCAACCAUGUCGAGCCCAAGACCCUCACCGACGCCGUCCACCGUCCAAGACUGGCCCUGGCCCACCCAGCCGCAACAACUUCGGAUCCGCCGACGUCAGCCCCUCCGGCCUCCUCGCAUUCCCCGCCGGCAGCUCCAUCUCCGUCAUCGACACCCGCUCAAUGAAGCUCGUCGUCUCCCUCCACUGAGCCUUCCAGCUCCCAUCUCCUCGCCGCCGGCGACCGCCAGGGCGGCAUCGCCCUCCUCGACCUCCGCCUCAAGUCGCGGGUCCUAUAUUGAGUAAUGGGUUUGUGUAAUGUGGGUUUUCAAUGAAUUGAGUUUUGAAUAAUUAGUGAUUGAGUAAUGGGUUUGCAAUAGUUUUCCCCAAAUUGAAGUACUGCUGUUCUAUAUUGAACUGGAUUUUCAGUUAAUCAAGUUUUACCUAAUUAGUAAUUGAGUAAUGGGUUUGUGUAAUGUGACACGUACUGGGUAGGGGAGGCUGCAGAUGGGUUUCCUUUUGAAAUAGUAGACAAUGCCGGAGAGCAGACCAUAAUGCUCAGAAGAGAAUUUGAUGGAGAAAUCAUCAAAGUGGCUGUCGAUAUUCCUAAUAUUCCUACCGCUGACGACAAUGAUGAUGAGGAGGAGAAUGAAGACACUGGGAUUCCAAUGGUUGUGAGUGUUUCAAUGGAGAAGAGACUGUUGUUGUCUGGAGAAGAAAGAGAGAAGAGGAAGAGUUGUCGUGAUAGAGAGAAGGAAGAACAGACCCAAAAAGAAGAAAAAGAAAAUCUGACUUUUGAGGGUAUUUUAGGUAGCGCAAAACGACUAGGGAUGAAAUAUUAUUAAAAAACUGAAAGGGGGUGUGGUUUGCAAUUUUUCACCCCCUCGUUGAUUUAUGUCUUUUGUCUCAUAUGGGGUUCCUGAAACUUACAGGGCAUGCUAAAACCCACUUGACCGUUUCUUCUCCUCCCCAAACUCCGGUUUUCAUUUCCUGCAAUUCUCCAGUUUAGCAGUUUGCUUCAAACUUUGAAAGGUUGUAGUUGAUAAACCAAAGCAUGUUUUACUCACUGUGCCUCUUAUCAAGAAAAGGGCGUUUAGGCUCCAUAUGAGCUGCUGCUUAUUGUUUCAAAAAGCUCAAGAAGGCCCAGGUCACUGAAACUGACAUCUCAGCCUCUAUUGGUUUGUUUUUUUCUCUCAAAGAUGAAACCUUUUCCCUGUUUUCUCAACAAAAGCAUAGAUUUUUGACAUGGGUUUUCUGUUUAGCUUAUUUGAGAGCCUACUUGUUAAGUUUUCUGUGAUUGUGUUCCCUAAUCUGUUUGGAUUACUCUGUGUGUUUCAUUUUCUACUUUUAUGAAUCUAAUGUGGGAAUGUGAUCACUUGCUUAGAUGUUCCAUAUUUGGUGGGUUAAUCACUUCAUGUUUCAUUUGAAGUAGUCUCAUUUUUGUCACCUUGUUUUUGGGUUUGUCAUAUGCUACUGUGAUCAAUGAUUUGGCUGGUUUCUUGUGUGUUCUGUGAAUGGUAUGAUAGGAAAUUAGUGGGAAUAAUUGGUUGUUUGCAGAAUCUAGAGGUGUGUAUAGUUGUGUUAUUAAGAAUUUCUUUCAUAUGAAGAUUUAGCAAGACGAUAUAAAUUGGGGGGAAAUGGUGUUCUUUUGGUGCUUAUGGAGAAUAUUUUUGAUUCUUGUAACUGUUCGCUUAUGACCAUUCACUUAUACUGAAGAAAGGGUUCGCUUAUUGGACUCUCAAAAAUCCAUAUUGCUUAGCUAGCAUAUGCUACUGCUUUGCUGGGAAGUAGGAAAGUGGGAGACAAAACUUUGAAGUCUAUAAAAAUUCAAUUGAUGUUUUUAGCAGUAAGAAUGUUUUGAUAUACUCUGUCAACUUGAUAGGCUUUUUUUCCUGCUUUUAUAUCUAGAGUGGCACUUUUGGAAUGCUGUCAUUAAUGUGUCUGAAUCUUAAACAUGACAUCAAUUAUGUUUGGCUGAUGACAAUUACGCUGUUUCUAUCGGCUUUUUAAUAUUGACAGUAACGCUUCAUGCUAUUUAGUACUGGCUAACGUUAAGCAUCGUAUAUUCGUUUUCUGUUGUGCAGAUAAAAUUUUGAAGGAUGAUUGGGAUGUCAUCGCAUAUAGGGUACUGGCCGGCCUACCUUCUUCUUGGUGUUGUUCGGAUAUACUCGAAAAAAGUUGAAUACCUUUUUGAUGUCUGCCAUGAGGUGCUAACUGACAUCAACAAGUUUGUCGUUAGCACAAAAGAGAAGGGAGACACAGAUACGUUUCUUGCGCCUUAGGACUCUGUUACUCUACCAGAGAGGUUUGAACUUGAUGCAUUUGAUUAGGGGAUCCCUGAAGAUGUCAGUGGGGGAAAUGUAGUAUCCUACGAAGCUAUCACGCUUAAAGUGUACUUUCAUUUGACGGGAUGGAAUUGGAUAUGGAGUUAAGGACGUUGAGGAUUGGAGCUAACCCAGAAGUAAACAUGGAGAUUCCUCAAGAGAGUAGGUUCUCUCAAGAAGAAACUAAUGGAGAACAGAUAAAGGUUCCGGAUAUAGCAUUGUCUGAAGAUGGGACUCUAAUAGAAGCAAGGCAGGAAAAGAGGAAAAAGGUCUGAACCAUUUGGUGAAGAUCACGAAACCAAUGGGGAGCAAAUAAACGCUCCUGCUGUAGUCCAAUCUGUUGAUGGAAUUCAAGAAGAAGCAAGCAUGGAACUUCCUGUCAUGUUACAUCAUCUAGUGAAAGUCACCACAUUAUUCGAGAGGAGAUUAUCAUGCAAUCAGAAAACCAGAUGUGUCCAGUUACAAGAGAAGACCACAAUCUAAGCAACUUGGAAGCCGACAGGGGAAACCUGACAAGUUGUACAUACACCUGCUCAAGAAGAGAACUGAUAAGUCUUGUGACUUAAAGAAACCUCAAAAAACCUGUUUGUUCAUAUGAGGAAGAGAAUCAUAAGGAUGGAGAGCCAACAAAGUUACAGGACACGAUUCCACCAGAUAAUGUGAAAUGUCAAAUUACUGCUGGAAAAGAUUCAGAGGCUUUAGGUAAAAAUAUCUCAUUUCCUAAAUGAUCUUACAUAUUCAAUUGGUAUAAUAGUUCUUCAACCCAUGGUGUUGCUUUAGCACACUAAUAUUCAGAGUUAAUAUUUUCUGCUUAGUAAUACUGUUCUGUGUUUUAUCAUAUGCUUUUAGUAUGCUGAGUAAUACUCUUGAUGUGGUGUUGCUUUAGCACACUAAUAUUCAGAGUUGUUAAUAUUUUCUGCUCAGUAACACUCUUCUGUGUUUAAUCAUAUGCUUUUAAUGUAUAUCUGAACUGAAACUUUCACUUGUAUGACAAUUUUGUUCUAACUA